GGCCGCGGGAAUUCGAUUCAGGCCUAACACAUGCAAGUCGUACGCACUCUCGUGAUGAUUGAAGCUUGCUUCAUGAUUCACAUUAGAGUGAGUGGCGGACGGGUGAGUAACACGUGGGUAACCUGCCCUAAAGUGGGGGAUAACAUCUGGAAACAGGUGCUAAUACCGCAUAACAACUACUUUCACAUGAUCGUAGUUUGAAAGAUGGCUCUGCUAUCGCUUUUGGAUGGACCCGCGGCGUAUUAGCUAGUUGGUGAGGUAAUAGCUCACCAAGGCAAUGAUACGUAGCCGACCUGAGAGGGUAAUCGGCCACAUUGGGACUGAGACACGGCCCAAACUCCUACGGGAGGCGGCAGUAGGGAAUCUUCCACAAUGGGCGAAAGCCUGAUGGAGCAAAGGCGCGUGAGUGAAGAAGGUUUUCGGAUC
rnacentral:rRNA from 1 species